rnacentral:rRNA from 1 species
UACGGAGGAUCCGAGCGUUAUCCGGAUUUAUUGGGUUUAAAGGGUGCGUAGGCGGCCUGUUAAGUCAGGGGUGAAAGACGGUAGCUCAACUAUCGCAGUGCCCUUGAUACUGAUGGGCUUGAAUAUACUAGAGGUAGGCGGAAUGUGACAAGUAGCGGUGAAAUGCAGAGAUAUGUCACAGAACACCAAUUGCGAAGGCAGCUUACUAUGGUAUAAUUGACGCUGAGGCACGAAAGCGUGGGGAUCAAACAGG